CAGUCGCCGCGGUAAUACCGAGGGUGCGAGCGUUAAUCGGAUUUACUGGGCGUAAAGCGUGCGUAGGCGGCUUUUUAAGUCGGAUGUGAAAUCCCUGAGCUUAACUUAGGAAUUGCAUUCGAUACUGGGAAGCUAGAGUAUGGGAGAGGAUGGUAGAAUUCCAGGUGUAGCGGUGAAAUGCGUAGAGAUCUGGAGGAAUACCGAUGGCGAAGGCAGCCAUCUGGCCUAAUACUGACGCUGAGGUACGAAAGCAUGGGGAGCAAACAGGAUUAGAUACCCGUGUAGUCCCUGUCUCUUAUAC
rnacentral:rRNA from 1 species